rnacentral:rRNA from 1 species
UACGGAGGGUGCAAGCGUUAUCCGGGUUUACUGGGUUUAAAGGGUGCGUAGGUGGAUUAGUAAGUCAGUGGUGAAAUCUCCGGGCUUAACCCGGAAACUGCCAUUGAUACUAUUAGUCUUGAAUACCGUGGAGGUCAGCGGAAUAUGUCAUGUAGCGGUGAAAUGCUUAGAUAUGACAUAGAACACCAAUUGCGAAGGCAGCUGGCUACACGAAUAUUGACACUCAGGCACGAAAGCGUGGGGAUCAAACAGG